UACGUAGGGCGCAAGCGUUGUCCGGAAUUAUUGGGCGUAAAGAGCUCGUAGGUGGCGUGUCGCGUCUGCCGUGAAAGCCCAUGGCUUAACUGUGGGUCUGCGGUGGAUACGGGCAGGCUGGAGGCUGGUAGGGGCAAGCGGAAUUCCUGGUGUAGCGGUGAAAUGCGCAGAUAUCAGGAGGAACACCGGUGGCGAAGGCGGCUUGCUGGGCCAGUUCUGACGCUGAGGAGCGAAAGUGUGGGGAGCGAACAGG
rnacentral:rRNA from 1 species